UUUGUAAUGAGGAGGACGAUCAGUGCU
rnacentral:sRNA from 1 species